rnacentral:rRNA from 1 species
AUUGAACGCUGGCGGCAUGCCUUACACAUGCAAGUCGAACGGCAGCACGAACUUCGGUCUGGUGGCGAGUGGCGAACGGGUGAGUAAUAUAUCGGAACAUACCUUGUAGUGGGGGAUAACUAUCCGAAAGGAUAGCUAAUACCGCAUACGAUCUAAGGAUGAAAGCGGGGGAUCUUCGGACCUCGUGCUAUAAGAGUGGCCGAUAUCUGAUUAGCUAGUUGGUGAGGUAAAGGCUCACCAAGGCGACGAUCAGUAGCUGGUCUGAGAGGACGACCAGCCACACUGGAACUGAGACACGGUCCAGACUCCUACGGGAGGCAGCAGUGGGGAAUUUUGGACAAUGGGGGCAACCCUGAUCCAGCAAUGCCGCGUGAGUGAAGAAGGCCUUCGGGUUGUAAAGCUCUUUUGUCAGGGAAGAAACGGUUGUGGCUAAUAUCCAUGGCUAAUGACGGUACCUGAAGAAUAAGCACCGGCUAACUACGUGCCAGCCGCCGCGGUAAGAC